rnacentral:lncRNA from 1 species
UUCCUUUUCAUAUAAUUUUAUAUGUAUAUGCCUCUGUAUGUGUUUUAGGUCAAAUUGAUGAAUACUGAUGACUUAUAUCAUGUUCGAUUGAUUCCUGCAUACGCUUUUACCUGAUUAUCAUGGCGAAUAUGCUUUCGUCGGAUGGGUCAUUGCAGAGUGGGGAUGUGUUUUCGUCAAUUACUCAGAUUACAAGUAUCGCUGAAACGGGAAAGGAGCCAAUUCAAGCACAAUCAUUCAAUCAACUGGAAGAUUGAAGAGGAAUGACAAGGGAAAAGAGAUACUCACACCAAAAGUUUGUUUUACUAUCCCGGAGGAAGAGGAAGUGGAGAUACCAUUGCGAAACGUCAAAGCACGAAUUCUUAAAGCUGCAAAGAACGAGUAGGUGAAAUAAAAGAAAAACGUACCAGUUGGCAGGACAAAAAAGAAGAAAUUCUAAGGUUGAUUGAUCGAAAAACGGCAAACUGUGUCAGCCAGAAAAAGAAGGAUAUGCUGGCAGCUGCAAAAGCAAUGUUCAUAAAGGCUAUUGAAGCGCCAGAUCAUAUUUAAAGUUCUAGGAGCAAAAGAGAAGCCAAACUUUUAAUUAGCAUCUGUUAACUUUCAAUAAGCCUUUGUUAUAU